rnacentral:rRNA from 1 species
GAUGAACGCUAGCGGCAGGCUUAAUACAUGCAAGUCGAACGGUAAGCUUGGUAGCAAUACUAAGUCAAGAGUGACGUACGGGUGCGUAACACGUAUGCAACCUACCUUGUACAGGAGGAUAGCUCGGGGAAACUCGAAUUAACCCUCCAUGAGAUAGUAGUGAGGCAUCUCACAGUUAUUAAAACUCAGGUGGUACAAGAUGGGCAUGCGUCUGAUUAGAGUUGGCAGUGUAAUGGACUACCAAGACGAUGAUCAGUAGGGGACCUGAGAGGGUGACUCCCCCANACUGGCACUGAGAUACGGGCCAGACUCCUACGGGAGGCAGCAGUAGGGAAUAUUGGUCAAUGGGUGAGAGCCU